AUGCCUAGAUCCAGCGGUGUGGGAUUUCGAAUCUGUUCCCCAGCCACCAUGGAGGAACGGAGGGGGAGAUUCCUGAACUUAACCACCCUUCGUCAAAGGGGGAGUGAGGUGGGUGGCCUGGCGCAAUUGUUUUGGACCAUGGCAGUCGGGUUAGGUUAUAAUGAUGCAGCACUGAAAGGCUUGUUUAAUGAUUGCCUGGAUGACCCUUUGCCUCAAUGGGAGAUGAAGGGGUUGGAGAUCCUGGACUGUUGGGGGUUUACCCAUUACCUGCGCCAUCGUGCUCAGUGGGAUGCAGCAACCACACCUGAGUCUCCAGACAAGACUGCCGCCAGCCCAGCGCCACAGCACAAGAUGGCCGCCAGCCCAGCGCCACAGCACAAGAUGGCCGCCAGCCCAGCACCAUUGCACAAGAUGGCCGAAUCUACACCUGUGUUGCCAGACAAGAUGGCUGACUCAACGCCUGAGUCUUCCGUCAAGGUGCCACCGACUCGCCAUCAUAAAGGGCGGAGGAGGAGGAGACAGGCGUCUACCGUUCCUCAAAGCCCAGAGGACGUUCCCGAGCGGGCCGCUGCCGUCCCCGAGGCGGUGUCCGAUGCGGUGCCCGAUACCGUUCCGGGGGCCGAGGCGGUGCCCGAUGCCGUUCCGGGGGCCGAGGCGGUGCCCGAUGCCGUUCCCGAGGUGGUGCCCGAGCCCGAGGCCGUUCCCGAGGCGGUGUUCGAGGCCGUUCCCGAUGCCGUUCCCGAUGCCGUGACCGAGGCGGUGCCCGAGCCCGAGGCGGUUUCCGAGGCGGUUCCUGAGGUGGUUUCCGAUGCCGUGACCGAGGCGGUGCCCGAGGCCGUUCCAGAGGCGGUGCCCGAAGCCGAGGCGCCUCACGUCUCCGCAGGCCGUCCAGAGCGCCCUAACGUCUCUGCAGGCCGUCCAGAGCGCCCUCACGUCUCCGCAGGCCUUCCAGAACGCCCUCACGUCUCCGCAGGGCCUUCCAGAAUGCCUUGACGUCUCCGCAGGGCCUCCGGGAUGGCAGGUUCCGCUCUGGUUGCUCAAAUGGCGGGUUCCUCCCUGGCCGUCGGCACAACCGGAACUGACGGAUCCUCCGUGGCCACCUGAACUGCCUGGUCCCUCGUGGUCCCCUGAACUUUCGGGUCCACCCUGGCCCCCUGAACUGACUGAUCCACCUUGGCUGCCAGUGGAGCCAUCGCUGCCUGUCCCUGUUCCCCUACACGGGCCUGGCCCUCCAUGCCUCCCCCUGUUCUACCUCCACCAGUCCACCUCCCUCCUGGUCUUUUUGGUUUGUUUUUUGUGUCUGAGGAGCAUCUGGAAGCUGCUCCGUAGAGGGGGGGUAAUGUCACAUUGUCUGGUCUGUGUAUCCCUGGGUGUCCUCUAGAGGUCUCACUUCCCCUUAUCGUCACCCCACUUCAGAACUACAUUUCCCACAAGUCUUGUUGGUACUCAUCACUCCUCAUUGCACUCAGCUGUCCCUGGUCAUUAAUCAUUGCACUCAGCCAAUUCCCCGUUAGUAUUGUCAUUUCCCUGUGUAUAAAUACCCCGGUUGUUCUGUCAUUGUUACGGAGUCCUUGUUGAAUGUCACCCUGCUAUUUCGUGUUUCCUUGCCCGAGUUUGUUUCUUGUUUUGGACUGCUUACCUGGAUUUUGACCUUUGCCUGGCUGAUUAUGAGUUUUGGAUUAUCCCAAUAAAACACUGCAAUUGGAUCUACCUAUUUGUGUGCGUGUCGUGACAUGUACAGGUUUGUGUAAAAGCCUUUAAAUAUGUUGUUAAUUAACAUAUGAUUUGUGGUUACCUGGUCAUCCAAUGAUUUUAUUGCGCUGAUGUUUGCCUUAGACUCACAUUCCCUCAGCCCGAGGGCCAAUAAGUGGCUAGGUCUCUCUGAUUCUAAAUAAUAUUUUUGCCUCGUAUAUAUAAAAAAAAUUCUGCCUUCGAUUGUCAAAGUAAGUCAUAUUUCUCUUUCAAGGAGGACAAUCGUGUAGCUUGUUGACCAG
ensembl:lncRNA